rnacentral:rRNA from 1 species
ACAAGCAGCGGAGCGUGUGGUUUAAUCGUUGCUACACGAAGAACCUUACCUGGGUUUGACAUAUAGGUUGUAGGGAACUGAAAAGGGACCGACCUUCGGGAGCCUAUACAGGUGUUGCAUGGCUGUCGUCAGCUCGUGUCGUGAGAUGUUCGGUUAAGUCCGCUAACGAGCGCAACCCUCGUCGUAUGUUAUAUGUGUCAUACGAGACUGCCGGUAAAAGCCGGAGGAAGGUGAGGAUGAUGUCAAGUCAGCAUGACCUUUAUAUCCAGGGCUACACACACGCUACAAUGGUCUGUACAAUGGGUAGCCAAGCCGCGAGGCGGAGCCAAUCCUGAAAGCAGGCCUCAGUUCAGAUUGCAGUCUGCAACUCGACUGCAUGAAGCCGGAGUUGCUAGUAACCGCAGGUCAGCAAUACUGCGGUGAAUACGUUCCCGGGUCUU